GCCGGGUGUGGUGGCGUAUGCCUGUAAUCCCAGCUACUCAGGAGGCUGAGGCAGGAGAAUUGCUUGAACCCAGGAGGCAGAGGUUGCAGUGAGCCGAGAUCGUGCCACUGUACUCCAGCCUGGGCGACAGAGCAAGAAUCUGUCUCUA
rnacentral:SRP_RNA from 1 species